rnacentral:rRNA from 1 species
AGAGUUUGAUCAUGGCUCAGAACGAACGCUGGCGGCAGGCUUAACACAUGCAAGUCGAACGGGUGUAGCAAUACAUCAGUGGCAGACGGGUGAGUAACACGUGGGAACCUUCCUCGUUGUACGGGACAACUCAGGGAAACUUGAGCUAAUACCGUAUACGUCCGAGAGGAGAAAGAUUUAUCGCAAUGAGACGGGCCCGCGUCGGAUUAGCUAGUUGGUGGGGUAACGGCCUACCAAGGCGACGAUCCGUAGCUGAUCUGAGAGGAUGAUCAGCCACACUGGGACUGAGACACGGCCCAGACUCCUACGGGAGGCAGCAGUGGGGAAUCUUGGACAAUGGGCGCAAGCCUGAUCCAGCCAUGCCGCGUGAGUGAAGAAGGCCUUAGGGUUGUAAAGCUCUUUUGCCAGGGACGAUAAUGACGGUACCUGAGAAUAAGCCCC